rnacentral:rRNA from 1 species
AAUGGCUCACCAAGGCUACGAUCAGUAGCUGGUCUGAGAGGAUGACCAGCCACAUUGGGACUGAGACACGGCCCAAACUCCUACGGGAGGCAGCAGUGGGGAAUCUUGCGCAAUGGGCGAAAGCCUGACGCAGCCAUGCCGCGUGAAUGAUAAAGGUCUUAGGAUUGUAAAAUUCUUUCNCCGGGGACGAUAAUGACGGUACCCGGAGAAGAAGCCCCGGCUAACUUCGUG